UACGUAGGGUGCGAGCGUUGUCCGGAAUUACUGGGCGUAAAGAGCUCGUAGGCGGUUUGUCGCGUCGUCCGUGAAAACUUGGGGCUCAACCCCCAAGCUUGCGGGCGAUACGGGCAGACUUGAGUACUGCAGGGGAGGCUGGAAUUCCUGGUGUAGCGGUGAAAUGCGCAGAUAUCAGGAGGAACACCGGUGGCGAAGGCGGGACUCUGGGCCGAUACUGACGCUGAGGAGCGAAAGCGUGGGGAGCGAACAGG
rnacentral:rRNA from 1 species